CCUGCGGAGGGAUCAUUACUGAGUUUACGCUCUACAACCCUUUGUGAACAUACCUAUAACUGUUGCUUCGGCGGGUAGGGUCUCCGUGACCCUCCCGGCCUCCCGCCCCCGGGCGGGUCGGCGCCCGCCGGAGGAUAACCAAACUCUGAUUUAACGACGUUUCUUCUGAGUGGUACAAGCAAAUAAUCAAAACUUUUAACAACGGAUCUCUUGGUUCUGGCAUCGAUGAAGAACGCAGCGAAAUGCGAUAAGUAAUGUGAAUUGCAGAAUUCAGUGAAUCAUCGAAUCUUUGAACGCACAUUGCGCCCGCCAGCAUUCUGGCGGGCAUGCCUGUUCGAGCGUCAUUUCAACCCUCAAGCUCUGCUUGGUGUUGGGGCCCUACAGCUGAUGUAGGCCCUCAAAGGUAGUGGCGGACCCUCCCGGAGCCUCCUUUGCGUAGUAACUUUACGUCUCGCACUGGGAUCCGGAGGGACUCUUGCCGUAAAACCCCCAAUUUUCCAAAGGUUGACCUCGGAUCAGGUAGGAAUACCCGCUGAAACUUAAGCAUAUCAAUAA
rnacentral:rRNA from 1 species